UACGGGGGGGGCAAGCGUUGUUCGGAAUUAUUGGGCGUAAAGCGCGCGUAGGCGGCUACUUAAGUCGGAUGUGAAAGCCCUUGGCUCAACUGAGGAAGUGCACCCGAAACUGAGUGGCUAGAGUACGAAAGAGGGUCGCGGAAUUCCCGGUGUAGAGGUGAAAUUCGUAGAUAUCGGGAGGAACACCGGUGGCGAAGGCGGCGACCUGGGUCGAUACUGACGCUGAUGCGCGAAAGCGUGGGGAGCAAACAGG
rnacentral:rRNA from 1 species